AGGCUUCCAAGAAAAACCUCUAAGCUUCAGAUUAUAAGAACCCGUACCGUAAACCGACACAGGUAGUUGGGAUGAGAAUUCUAAGGUGCUCGAGAGAUUCAUGGCUAAGGAACUAGGCAAAAUAGACCUGUAACUUCGGGAGAAAGGUCGCCCUCAGUAAUGAGGGCCGCAGUGAAAAGGUCCAGGCGACUGUUUAUCAAAAACACAGGGCUUUGCUAAAUUGAAAGAUGAUGUAUAAGGCCUGACACCUGCCCGGUGCUGGAAGGUUAAGGAGAUCGGUUAGCUUCGGCGAAGCUGAGAACUUAAGCCCCAGUAAACGGCGGUGGUAACUAUAACCAUCCUAAGGUAGCGAAAUUCCUUGUCGGGUAAGUUCCGACCUGCACGAAUGGCGUAACGAUUGCCCCACUGUCUCCAACAUCGACUCAGCGAAAUUGAACUCUCCGUGAAGAUGCGGAGUAGGCGUGGUCAGACGGAAAGACCCCGUGCACCUUUACUAUAGCUCCG
rnacentral:rRNA from 1 species